GGAGGACUCCUAGGGAUCGCAAGACCUUGCGCUCAUUGAGCGGCCGACCUUUGAUUAGUUAGUUGGUGAGGUAAAGGCUUACCAAGGCGACGAUCAGUAGCUGGUCUGAGAGGACGACCAGCCACACUGGGACUGAGACACGGCCCAGACUCCUACGGGAGGCAGCAGUGGGGAAUUUAGGACAAUGGGGGAAACCCUGAUCCAGCCAUGCCGCGUGAGUGAAGAAGGCCUUCGGGUUGUAGAGCUCUUUCAGCCGGAACGAAACGGUCACGGCUAAUACCUGUGGCUACUGACGGUACCGGAAGAAGAAGCACCGGCUAACUACGUGCCAGCAGCCGCGGUAAUACGUAGGGUGCGAGCGUUAAUCGGAAUUACUGGGCGUAAAGCGUGCGCAGGCGGUUUUGUAAGUCAGAUGUGAAAUCCCCGGGCUUAACCUGGGAACUGCGUUUGAAACUACAAAGCUAGAAGGG
rnacentral:rRNA from 1 species